rnacentral:rRNA from 1 species
GGACCCGCACAACCAGUGGAGCGUGUGGUUUAAUUCGAGACGAAGCGAAAAACCUCACCAAGGCUUGACAUGCUACCGUACAGUCCUGAUGAAAGUCGGGAUAAUCCGUAAGGAUGGUAGCACAGGUGCUGCAUGGCUGUCGUCAGCUCGUGCCGUGAGGUGUUCCCUUAAGUGGGGAAACGAGUGCAACCCUUGUCUAAUGUUACAUAGUUCAUUAGAGACUGCCCCGUUUUUACGGGGAGGAAGGAAAGGCGGACGUCAAGUCAGCAUGGCCCUUAUGCCUUGGGCUACACACACCCUACAAUGGCGAAGAACAAUGAGUUGCGAGCCGGUAACGGCAAGCUAAUCUCAGAAAUUUCGCCUCAGUUCAGAUAGAGGUCUGCAACUCGACCUCUUGAAGUCGGAAUUGGUAGUAAUCGCGGAUCAGCGGGCCGCGGUGAAUACGUUAUCGGGUCUU